AGAGCGAACGCUGGCGGCAGGCCUAACACAUGCAAGUCGAACGGACUCUUCGGAGUUAGUGGCGGACGGGUGAGUAACACGUGGGAACGUGCCUUUAGGUUCGGAAUAGCUCCUGGAAACGGGUGGUAAUACCGAAUGUGCCCUUCGGGGGAAGGAUUUAUCGCCUUUAGGGCGGCCCGCGUCUGAUUAGCUUGUUGGUGAGGUAAUGGCUCACCAAGGCUACGAUCAGUAGCUGGUCUGAGAGGAUGACCAGCCACAUUGGGACUGAGACACGGCCCAAACUCCUACGGGAGGCAGCAGUGGGGAAUCUUGCGCAAUGGGCGAAAGCCUGACGCAGCCAUGCCGCGUGUAUGAUGAAGGUCUUAGGAUUGUAAAAUACUUUCACCGGUGAAGAUAAUGACUGUAGCCGGAGAAGAAGCCCCGGCUAACUUCGUGCCAGCAGCCGC
rnacentral:rRNA from 1 species